rnacentral:rRNA from 1 species
GACGAACGCUGGCGGCGUGCUUAACACAUGCAAGUCGAACGGAAAGGCCCUGCUUUUGUGGGGUGCUCGAGUGGCGAACGGGUGAGUAACACGUGAGUAACCUGCCCUUGACUUUGGGAUAACUUCAGGAAACUGGGGCUAAUACCGGAUAGGAGCUCCUGCUGCAUGGUGGGGGUUGGAAAGUUUCGGCGGUUGGGGAUGGACUCGCGGCUUAUCAGCUUGUUGGUGGGGUAGUGGCUUACCAAGGCUUUGACGGGUAGCCGGCCUGAGAGGGUGACCGGCCACAUUGGGACUGAGAUACGGCCCAGACUCCUACGGGAGGCAGCAGUGGGGAAUAUUGCACAAUGGGCGGAAGCCUGAUGCAGCAACGCCGCGUGCGGGAUGACGGCCUUCGGGUUGUAAACCGCUUUCGCCUGUGACGAAGCGUGAGUGACGGUAAUGGGUAAAGAAGCACCGGCUAACUACGUGCCAGCAGCCGCGGUGAUACGUAGGGUGCGAGCGUUGUCCGGAUUUAUUGGGCGUAAAGGGCUCGUAGGUGGUUGAUCGCGUCGGAAGUGUAAUCUUGGGGCUUAACCCUGAGCGUGCUUUCGAUACGGGUUGACUUGAGGAAGGUAGGGGAGAAUGGAAUUCCUGGUGGAGCGGUGGAAUGCGCAGAUAUCAGGAGGAACACCAGUGGCGAAGGCGGUUCUCUGGGCCUUUCCUGACGCUGAGGAGCGAAAGCGUGGGGAGCGAACAGGCUUAGAUACCCUGGUAGUCCACGCUGUAAACGGUGGGUACUAGGUGUGGGGUCCAUUCCACGGGUUCCGUGCCGUAGCUAACGCUUUAAGUACCCCGCCUGGGGAGUACGGCCGCAAGGCUAAAACUCAAAGGAAUUGACGGGGCCCCGCACAAGCGGCGGAGCAUGCGGAUUAAUUCGAUGCAACGCGUAGAACCUUACCUGGGUUUGACAUGGAUCGGGAGUGCUCAGAGAUGGGUGUGCCUCUUUUGGGGUCGGUUCACAGGUGGUGCAUGGCUGUCGUCAGCUCGUGUCGUGAGAUGUUGGGUUAAGUCCCGCAACGAGCGCAACCCUUGUUCACUGUUGCCAGCACGUUAUGGUGGGGACUCAGUGGAGACCGCCGGGGUCAACUCGGAGGAAGGUGGGGAUGACGUCAAGUCAUCAUGCCCCUUAUGUCCAGGGCUUCACGCAUGCUACAAUGGCUGGUACAGAGAGUGGCGAGCCUGUGAGGGUGAGCGAAUCUCGGAAAACCGGUCUCAGUUCGGAUUGGGGUCUGCAACUCGACCUCAUGAAGUCGGAGUCGCCAGUAAUCGCAGAUCAGCAACGCUGCGGUGAAUACGUUCCCGGG